UUCCGGUUGAUCCCGCCGGAGGCCACUGCUAUCGGUGUCCGAUUAAGCCAUGCGAGUCGUGAGGUGUAAGACCUCGGCGGACUGCUCAGUAACACGUGGAUAACCUGCCCAAAGGUUCGGGAUAACCCCGGGAAACUGGGGAUAAUACCGGAUGGAUUACCUGUGCUGGAAUGCUUGGUAGUUUAAAGGUGACGCCUUUGGAUGGGUCUGCGGCGGAUUAGGUUGACGCCGGUGUAAUGUACCGGCGUGCCUGUAAUCCGUACGGGUUGUGGGAGCAAGAGCCCGGAGAUGGAUUCUGAGACACGAAUCCAGGCCCUACGGGGCGCAGCAGGCGCGAAAACUCUACAAUGCAGGCAACUGCGAUAGGGGGACAUCGAGUGGCAUCCACCUUGGGUGUCUGUCCAGCCGUCUAAAAAACGGUUGUUAGC
rnacentral:rRNA from 1 species